UACAGAGGCCUCGAGCGUUGCGCGGAAUCACUGGGCUUAAAGGGUGCGUAGGCGGACAUACAAGUGCCUUGUGAAAUCCCCGGGCUCAACCCGGGAACUGCUUGGUAGACUGUGUGUCUUGAGGUCGGUAGGGGUCGCUGGAACAGUUGGUGGAGCGGUGAAAUGCGUAGAUAUCAACUGGAACGCCAAAGGCGAAGGCAAGCGACUGGGCCGAUUCUGACGCUGAGGCACGAAAGCGUGGGGAGCAAACGGG
rnacentral:rRNA from 1 species